UCACCUACUGAAGUAAUAAACGAUAAGGCAGAUUGUAGGUAGGAAUGAUAUCUAAAAAGGAACAAUUGCAGCCCUGUGUGUGACACCCUCAGGCAAGGUAAGGCCUACCUUUUAGUGUUUCCCCUUUCAAGGUGGGAGUUUGGAGAGAUGAACAAGCACUUUGGAAGCAUCCCCAGCCCUCUUUACCUGACAACAGUUUGGUCCUCACAGUGACUGCUUCAUUGGAGUGCCUCUCCAGUGUUAUGGCACCAUCAUCUGUUACCACCCAAGGCUGUGAUGAAAUAAGAUACAACAUAUCCGAUGACACAGGCCUGCAUGGCUAGCAUCUUGAACAUUUUAUUACAUGAACAUUCUCUGUACGAUGGUAUAAAAAGGCCCGAGGAUUAAAUUAUGUAUAAAAUAUGAAAUAAAGAAGUAAGACUUUCAAGCAUGCACUCUGUCCUCCCUUGUUGGAUGUAGGGGUAGGAUUGCCAGUAACAAAGGUUUUCUUUGCUAUUUCUAUCUCUUUAAUUCCCCUGUAUUACAUAGGAAGUAGCUGUUACACACAGCUCUGAGGUUUCUUCUGCCUAUGGCUGAGGAAAGCUCAUUAUUGACACAACAGAGUGGUGAAAGGGGCCAAGUCAACUAAUUUGGGGCUUGAAUUUCCUGUGGUUGCAGCAACAAAGUACCACACGUUAGGGAGCUUAGGCAACAGAUUUCCUCUCCCUGUUAAGGAUGGCAGGCAUCUGAGAAGUGGGUUCCUCAUAAGGGAUAACCCAUUCCAGUGCCCCUCUCCAGUGUGUGGCAGGUCCCAGAAAUUCUUAGUUUUCUCUAGUUGUACCUGCAUCUCUGCCUCUGCCACUUUUGUCACAUGGCCAUCUUGUGUUUCCUUUUUAUAAGCACACCAGUGUUGUAUACAGGUGGGUAUUUGGAAACAUGGAAGCAUUUUGUUCAGUAUCUAGUGACAGUGAUGGAAAGAGAUGAUUUGCAGAGAAGGUCAGAGCAGCAUGAGGGUCUUAGGUAUGGAGCUGCAGCCAACAUUAUGGACAUGGAAGAGAGGGAUUGCUGGACUUUUGGUUUCCUGCCUGGGUACCUGGACAAUCUAUCUACCAUUGGGAGGACUAGGUAACAGUGGAAGUUAGUUAUGAGAGAAGUUGUUUGAUGUUCAAUUCUGAUCUAGCCAGGCUCAGUGUGAGAUGUCCUGGGUCCCUUCAUCUUGCCUUGACUGUUAGGUGCAGUUUCAUAUUGAAACUGCAGGCUCUUUUUUAUCCAUUGCUACUGGCAACCAGUGUGAUCUGGUAAAUCUGUUUCCACUUUGCUUAGUGCUCUCCACUGAUUUUCUGUUACUUGAGACCUAAACUCCAUCUUCAGCCUUGUGUUGAUCUAAUGUCAUGUCAACUUCUCUAAAAGCUCAGCCAAUUCUACACUGGCCUUCUAUUCCUUUCCUCAAACCACUUAGCACUUUUUUUUUUUAAAUUUUUUUAGAUUUAUUUAUUUAUUUAUUAUAUGUAAGUACACUGUAGUUGUCUUCAGACACUCCAGAAAAGGAGUCAGAUCUUGUUACGGAUGGUUGUGAGCCACCAUGUGGUUGCUGGGAUUUGAACUCCAGACCUUUGGAAGAGCAGUAGGGUGCUCUUACCCACUGAGCCAUCUCACCAGCCCAGCACUUCUGUUUCUUAAGGCUGUUGCUCCUGUUGUCUCCUUUGCUGAGAAAGUUCUGUUCCCUAAUUUGUACUGUUGACUACUUUUUGUCAUCCAUAUAAGUGUAAACAAAAGUUCUUUCAUCUGAUCUCUUCAUCCUAAAUCAUACUACCCUGUUUUAACUCACAUUACUACCACUGACCUUUUCUAGUGUUUUUUUCUUUUCUACCACUAGAGGGAGACAGAAGCCGUAUCAAUUUAGUCGUAUACUCAACACAGGGAAACUGCAUUUACUGAUGGCUGAGCUUGUCUGAGACGAUAUCAGGAUUCCCCUGCCAAUAUCUUCAUGGACGUCACUUGUCACCAUAAUUGGUGACUUAUAGAAGUUAUUAAUGUACUAGAAAUUAUAGUACAGAAAUCUUAUUUUAGGACUAUAGUACCAAUAGCCUUUUUUUGUGGUGCUGGGGAUAGAACCCAGGGUCUUUCACAUGUAAGCAUUCAUACCAUCACUGAGCUACAAUCCCUGGUUAUCAGCUUCUCACUUUAUUUACCUUCCCCUGACUUUGACAGCCCUGUCUAGUUUGGAACUUAUUAUGUAAUCCACGAUGGCCUUGAAUUUACAGCCAUCCUCAGCCUCUCCAGUGCUAGGAUUAUAAAUAUAUCUGACUAGCUUAUUUUUUUCAUUUUGUUCAGGUUUUUAAUGAGUGUCUUGGUUUCAGAUAUGAAAAACAGAAUUUGGAAGAAAGCCAGUUGGGCCAGUCUGUGGUAGAGCAUGCACUCAAAGUUGAAGCAAGAUGUUAAUGAGUUCUAGGCUGGCUUAGGCUUCAUAGCAAGAUCCUAUCUCAUAAAACAAAAAGUUAACUGGUGAUUCCCUGGAGGUGAGAGGGGUGAGGAGAGAGUGAUAGUUAAUGAAUACAAAGUUCUUUGAGGGAAAAUGAGAAUAUUCUGAAAUUGGCUAUGGCGAUACUCAUACAUUUGUGAAUGUGCAAGGAACACUUCAGAUGAAUGACUUUUGUUGUAUAUGGAUUAGGUUGCAAUAAAACUGGCAUUUAAAAUGUUAUCU
rnacentral:lncRNA from 1 species